rnacentral:misc_RNA from 1 species
GCUUGAACAAAGAAAUACAAAAGAUAAAAUUACAACACCACAAAAUGAUGGGAAAAUUGAACAUUUUUUAUAAUUAUUAAAAAAAGAAAGAAAGAAAGGGAAACAGUAGUAAAAGUUGUUAGUUUUGUUCGUUGGAGAAGGAUGGUCUAUUCAUCAAAUUAUCAUUCCAUGUGUUCAAAUUACGUCUUUUCCACUGCCACACCACUACUGCAAUCAAGAUUGAGAAUCCCACAACGUAUUUUAUCACCAUAAUCACACGAAAUACUGGAUCAUCACCGCAGUAGUAAAAUGGGGCACAUUGAUCAUAAGUUGUAGAACUCUGUGCUACAGAGGUUGUUAUGAAUGUAACAAAUAUAAAAACACUAGCAAGAGUUGAUUUUUU